GAUGAACGCUGGCGGCGUGCUUAACACAUGCAAGUCGAACGGCAAGGCCCAAGCUUGCUUGGGUACUCGAUUGGCGAACGGGUGAGUAACACGUGUGCAAUCUGCCCUGCACUUCGGGAUAAGCCUGGGAAAGUGGGUCUACUACCGGAUAGGACCACACCUUGGAUGGUGAGGUGGAAAGCUUUGCGGUUUGGGAUGGGCUCGCGGCCUAUCGGCUUGUUGGUGGGUGAAUGGCCUACCAAGGCGUCGGCGGGUAGCCGGCCUGAGAGGGUGUACGGCCACAAUGGGACUACGAGACGCACCAGACUCGAACGGGAGGCAGUGGUGGGGAAUAUGGCACAGUGGGCCCGCGCGUGAGGCAGCGGCUCUGCGUGGGGGAUGACGGCCUUCUGGUUGUAAACACCUUUCGCUAGAGACGAAGCGGAAGUGACGGUACCUGGAGAAGAAGCACCGGCUAACUACGUG
rnacentral:rRNA from 1 species